CCUACGGGUGGCAGCAGUGGGGGAUAUUGCACAAUGGGGGAAACCCUGAUGCAGCGACGCCGCGUGAGUGAAGAAGUAUUUCGGUAUGUAAAGCUCUAUCAGCAGGGAAGAAAAUGACAGUACCUGACCAAGAAGCCCCGGCUAACUACGUGCCAGCAGCCGCGGUAAUACGUAGGGGGCAAGCGUUAUCCGGAUUUACUGGGUGUAAAGGGAGCGCAGGCGGCGUGGCAAGUCAGAUGUGAAAACCCGGGGCCCAACCCCGGGAGUGCAUUUGAAACUGCCAUGCUGGAGUGCCGGAGAGGUAAGCGGAAUUCCUAGUGUAGCGGUGAAAUGCGUAGAUAUUAGGAGGAACACCAGUGGCGGAGGCGGCUUACUGGACGGUAACUGACGCUGAGGCUCGAAAGCGUGGGGAGCAAACAGGAUUAGAUACCCCUGUAGUC
rnacentral:rRNA from 1 species